UGCGAGGCAGCCUAAAAGUAAUGACAAUAAUCAUAAUACAGUGUGAUCUCGAAUUACCAGUGACCCAAUUGAGACGUUUUUAAAUCUACAAACUGUCACUCUGCCAAUUUUUUUUCUGUCUUGAGUUGAGAGCAAAAAGCAGCAGAUGGUGAACAAUUCUUACCUGAGCAUGAAAUUGAAACAUAAAACCAAGUCACCCGAAGACCAGAAAACCUGGGAAAGUCAACUAGCUUAAUGCUAACGCACAGCACCCAAAGUCACAGACGGGCUAAUGAAACUAGCAUUGAUGUCAGUUUAAAUUUAAACAAUGUAUUUGAACACACAGAAGCACGUGUAGGCAGAUAAUAGAAGAAUAUUCACAUUCAUAUAUUCUUUAUCCUCAGCAAAACAGACUCACUGCAGCUUUCGGAGUCAUUUAGUUGUGAAACGCUGCUUUGCUCCUUCUGACUGUCGCCACUGUCACUUGGAUUUAUCAAGUGCCUUUCAAGGGACCCAAAGAUGUGCCUGAGUAGAAAAACAAAUUUAAUGGCGCGUUUUCAUGUUUCAGUUCAACAACGGGUCAUCCGCAUUUUUGAUCAAUAGCAAGUGAGCUUGUGCUGCGUUUCCAUUUGGUCUCUUUGCAUGCCCAGUUUGAUCAAUCCAGUUCAUACUGGAUCGUCCGUCUCCCUUGCGCCCCUCAAAAGGGGACACAGAUUUAAGAUUGGAACCCAAGACUUCCCUGGAGGACGGCCACGCGUCCACCCAUGGGAAUCCCUGCCUCAGACCCAAGUCGACACGUCAGUAAGCUGCGCAUUCCAAACCCGGUCCAGAUGCUGCCUACAGAUGUCUUUUGUUUUUGGAGAAGCCGGUCAACCAAAUGUAGAUCACAAUGUUGUCCGGAAACUCCCCCCCCCCCACCACUCCCCCCCACAACGCCCGUCACCUUCUCUUACCAGACUCACCUUGUUGAGUGAUGACAUCAUGACAAAGAAAAAACGUCCGCCAAGGACAAGACCAGACGUUUACCACCGCGGGUGUUGUCUGCUGGAACAGCAAAUUGGAUGUGACACGACCGUUGUAUUUCAGAUGUCAUUUCAGGGCGAGGAUUCUUGCGUCUGAAAGAAAGAACUUAAAGACACCAGCACGGUCCCGUGUCAGCUCUUUCUUGAGCCAGAACUUUGACUGGAACGUAGCAAAAACAGCACUUGGGAGGAGGUGGCCGGUGCCUGCAGGUGGCGCUACUUUACCGACAUGAAUCCAAAGAGGGAGCCGGUGCACUGAAGCUGCUUUGUUUGGACCAGGAGGAGGAGGAGGAGGAAGAGGAGGAGGCGAAGCCAGGCUUUUAAGCUCCGAGCGAACCCUCACGAGUCCGAGUGGACUCCAUCUCUCUCUCUCACUCACAUGAGCAGAGUUUCGUUGUGAUCCAAAGCUGUCAAGAUGAACUCACGGAUUCCACCCUGGUGUGUUGGAUUAUUUCUCGUGCUGAGUUUCACAGCAGGUGACCAAGCGGGCGGUGAGUGUCUCGUUGCUCCGGUUACGUUGACGCAUCAUCGUGCGUCAAGUUGAGAGGAUGCCCGAGGAUUGCUCGGUUUUGGAUGGAUUGUGACUUUGACGGAGAUCGCAAAAGGACUGCCGUGUUGAAGCUCUGACAGGUGACAAGUCGAGCGAGUGUUCCUCUUGUGUUUGGCGGAGUUUGCCUGUGCUGAUUUUCAGUCGCUUCGUUUUGAGUCACUUCAAGUUUGUCAUUCCGCCGUUUAAAAGCAGAGCAAAGCAGGGGAAUAUUUUGGGUGUGAAGCGCGGUAAAUGUUGAUCUAUGCUUAUUGGAAUCGCUGUUAUAUGGCUGUUUCAAAUCUGUAGUUUGCCGAGUCAGCCUUUUUGUUGGAUAGAACCCAUCGUGUGUAGCUGCAUGACAAAUAUUUCAAGUCAAAUUAUUUUUUUUUUUUACAGUCAAGUUUCCCGGUUAUUGCCUUUUUGAAAGUUUAUUCAAAGUAAUGGAGCAGAAAUGUCUUCCUACAUGUGAGCCAAUACUGUGGGUGGUCGUGUCGCUGUUCUUUUUUUAUUGCAUUUUUGGUCGCACAAA